rnacentral:rRNA from 1 species
UACAGAGGAUGCAAGCGUUAUCCGGAAUGAUUGGGCGUAAAGCGUCUGUAGGUGGCUUUUUAAGUCCGCCGUCAAAUCCCAGGGCUCAACUCUGGACAGGCGGUGGAAACUACCAAGCUGGAGUACGGUAGGGGCAGAGGGAAUUUCCGGUGGAGCGGCGAAAUGCGUAGAGAUCGGAAGGAACAUCUGUGGCGAAGGCGACUAUCUGGGCCAACACUGACACUGAGGCACGAAAGCGUGGGGAGCAAACAGG